AUUAUGAACUCUAUGAAUUGAAUGUCUGAGGCAAACAUUCAUGGAGAUAUUGAUAUUUCUUUCUAAUGGAGAAAGAUAUCAAUAUUGGCGUAUUAUGUAGGUAACCGUAUUGAAACAAUCCUUGGAAGAGAACCCAAUAUUUGGGUACAGUGUAUCAGUCUACCGAUAUAAUAAGAUUAUAAUGGAUAUACAGCUAAGCAUGACUACCAAGUCCGUCGUGCCGUACAGCACCAAGAGGAGUGCUAACCAGAGUAAAGGGGGGCUGGUCAAGUCUAACAAGUCUAAAAGUGCCUCUAGUCGCGGCUAUCUGAGUAGUGUAGCUGAUGAAAAGAGAUUUCUACAGUCAGCUAACAGCUCCCAGAGCUCUCGCUGGAACACCAGUGGCCAGGGCCUGAGGCUGGAGAAGGAAUGGACUGACCUUGCCAAUUCCAGGUCCCUGAAACGCAACUCAGAGGUAGGAUUGUUUGCAAUCUGCUAUUUCAAUGUACAUGCCAUUUUUUUUUCUUGAAAUGUAUACAUAAGGGUCUUAGUCUCAUCCUCCUUUUAGGGAAGUCUGUCAAUCUGUCCCAACACCUUCUGAACGAUUUUAGAAUUUGUGUUAAAAGUGUUGCCUUCCCUGACAAGACUUCGUGGAACUCUUUCCAUAGUAUUGAAUUAAAUAGCACACUUUAACAUUUUGCAUAAUUUACAAUUUCUUGUUCUUACAGAUAGUAACUCACAGAGUAGACAGAAUGUAUUUUAUGACUGGAAAUUCAAUUAAUCUUAAACCCAAGUAUCAUGUGGAUGAGGAAGAGCUCCAUAGACUAAGAGAGAUUUCAAAAUCCAGGCAGUCGUCAAGAAGACAAAACCGGUAAGUAGUCACAUGUUGUGUAUGGUUGUACUUUUUGUUGUGUGCUGCUGAUUAAUACACAUUUCAAAUAUAAUUAUAUAUUCAAUUCUAGGUCAUUUUUCUAAAAAAGCAUACAUAAAAAUACUCACGUAACAUCUUCAGCAUUGUACUUAUACUGUUACUUUAACUGUCAUUUCCACAAAAAAUGCAGAUUAACUUUAUUUAAAAGUAUCUUUAAUACAUGGUCUGUAUGUACAUCUUUCAUCUUAAAUUUUCUUUCUGUUUUAGUCUUUCUUUCUGUUCUAUUCUUUCUUUUUGUUCUAUUCUAUUCUUUCUGUCUGUUUUCCCCCUUUUUGCCCCCACACAAGGCAUACUUAUCCUUUGGAGCCGUGUAUAGAGGAAGAGGAGUCGGUGUGUCCUGAGCCCAGUGUGAUCGAGGGAGAGGACAACUCGAUUCAAGGAGUGGAUCUCAAACCAGAUCAACAGGAAUCUCCAGACAACUUUUACUUCAGAGGGCUGCUCUCAAGACAGCUCAGUAAUGCUCAGGUACUAGGAACUGAUAUAGAGGUACUUGAAGAUAAUGCGGGAAAUGAACCAGAGGUUUCAGAGAUGGGUCAUUUAGGAGACAACAUAGAAAAUACCUUGAACAUCAAGGCUUCAGUGAUGUUGCAUUCUCAUGAUUCUAGUCAUAGAAGACAAGGCCUUGUUAAGAAUCAUCCCGAACAUUCACAGGAAUGUGAUGUAGAGGACAGAAUAAAUGAGAAAGAAUAUGAUAGAGAUCCAGAGGUUUUUAAACAGGUUGCAUUUGAGGAGAUACCUCCAAAACCUACAGUAGAAUUGGGUGAUUCUUUACAAACCAAAUCUGAGCUAUUAUCUCCCAUUCUUAGUCAUAAUAGCAAGGAGUCUGGAAUUCAGAUUGACCAAGAAGAGCUCAAUGAAGAACUAGUAUCUGGGGACUUUUUGGAAGGAGAGUUAACAUCCCGAAGUGGUAUUGAAGGUAAAAACAAACAGUUACGACAGGACACUGAAGUGAAAGCUUUCCCCCAUGAGCAUAAGGAAGAUGAAGAAAGAGUGAAGUUCACACAUUGGAUUGUAGACUUUGAUGAUGUUGCUGUGGCAGAUUUAUUAACCAGUGGAGAACAGGACAUAAUUGGAGAAUGUAUUACAUCCAUUCUGAGGGAUUUCCAAUCCAAUGUGAAGAAACCUAGGUUUGAAUUCAAAUCUGGACCCAAGGUUCCAACUUGUCUAAAGAGGAAAAUGGCUAAGAAACCUAACAAGACAUGCAAAGAAAAAGUAAAAGGACCAUGUAUGGAAAUUUCCAAUCAACAGGCUAAUUCAGAAGAGAUGUCCCAAAAGAAAUUUCCAAACAGGAAAUCAAACCCUGCUGCUCACAGAACAUUCCACCAGGAACCUGUGAAGUGUGGAUGUAGGAACAUCAAGGAUAAUGUGAAUGAUCUUUUCAUUCAGGGAACAUCUGUUCCUUUGUAUAAGUUUGUGAAUGAAGCAGUUGAAGAAUUCAAGCUUCAAUACUUAUAGUUAUGUAUGCAAUAGUACAUGUACUUACCCUUUAUUAAUUUGCGGCACAAUUUGAUUCUUACAUGUUUUGCAUUAUUAGGGUAUUGAAUUACAAUAGGUGUUGAAAAUAAAGCAGUCUUUCUCUCUGUAUGUAUUAGGGUCAUUCAUAUGCCUGCAUGGUAAGUAUCAUGCCAUUUUUAAGGAGUUGUUUCAUCCCACUCUCUGUAUACCUGUUGAGCUGUGUAAAGGAAAUGCCAAAUGAUAAAAAUGUCUUAAAAACUUUUCUUUUCUCUGAUUUGUAACCUUAUAUAUUACCCAGCAUACCAGAUCUAACCACAAUUUAUUAUCAUACAGUAUUCUAUAUUACUAUUAAUUAUUGAAAUACUUCAAAAAA
rnacentral:misc_RNA from 1 species